AAAGUUAGAGGUUCGAAGGCGAUCAGAUCCGCCCUAGUUCUAACCUAAACGAUGCCAGCCAGCGAUCCGGCUGUGUUCCUCAAAUGACACGCCGGGCAGCUUCCGGGAAACCAAAGCUUUUGGGUUCCGGGGGAAGUAUGGUUGCAAAGNUGAAACUUAAAGGAAUUGACGGAAGGGCACCACCAGGAAUGGAGCUUGCGGUUUAAUUUGACUCAACACGGGACAACCUACCCGGCCCGGACACAGGAAGGAUUGACAGAUUAAGAGCUCUUUCUUGAUUCUGUGGGUGGUGGUGCAUGGCCGUUCUUAGUUGGUGGACUGAUUUGUCUGGUUAAUUCCGUUAACGAACGAGACUCUAGCCUACUAAAUAGACGUUCCGAUUAUUUAUUUUUCGGACGUUCUUCUUAGAGGGACAAUCGGCGCUUAGCCCGAUGAGACAGAGCAAUAACAGGUCUGUUAUGCCCUUUGAUGUCCGGGGCCACACGCGUGCUACAUUGAAGGAAUCAGCGUGUGCUUUCCCUGUCCGACAGGACUGGGUAACCCGUUGAACCUCCUUCGUGCUGGGGAUAGGGGCUUGUAAUUAUUCCCCUUGAACGAGGAAUUCCUAGUAAGCGCGAAUCAUCAGUUCGUGUUGACUAAGUCCCUGCCCUUUGUCCACACCGCCCGUCGCUACUACCGAUUGAAUGAUUUAGUGAGGUCUUCGGACUGGCCUCGGAGCGGCCUUGCGGGUCGCGCCGGCGUGCCGGAAAGAUGACCAAACUUGGUCAUU
rnacentral:rRNA from 1 species